rnacentral:rRNA from 1 species
ACAUGCAAGUCGAACGCCCCGCAAGGGGAGUGGCAGACGGGUGAGUAACGCGUGGGAACAUACCCUUUCCUGCGGAAUAGCUCCGGGAAACUGGAAUUAAUACCGCAUACGCCCUACGGGGGAAAGAUUUAUCGGGGAAGGAUUGGCCCGCGUUGGAUUAGCUAGUUGGUGGGGUAAAGGCCUACCAAGGCGACGAUCCAUAGCUGGUCUGAGAGGAUGAUCAGCCACAUUGGGACUGAGACACGGCCCAAACUCCUACGGGAGGCAGCAGUGGGGAAUAUUGGACAAUGGGCGCAAGCCUGAUCCAGCCAUGCCGCGUGAGUGAUGAAGGCCUUAGGGUUGUAAAGCUCUUUCACCGGAGAAGAUAAUGACGGUAUCCGGAGAAGAAGC